UCCAAUGUGGUGUAGUGGUUAACAUUGCUGUCUUUCAUGUGAAUGUAUCCUGCCUGAAUACACAGCAGCCCGGGGUUCGAUUCCCCGCAUUGGAA